UAAAGCUCUCAUUUUAGAGAUGCACAUUUUUGUUACAAAAGAAAAGAAGUGAAGAAUGUUUAGGUGCAGAAGUGAAGAAUGUUUAGGUGUAGAAGUGAAGAAUGUUUAGGUGUAGAAGUGAAGAAAGUUUAGGUGUAGAAGUGAAGAAUGUUUAGGUGCAGAAGUGAAGAAUGUUUAGGUGUAGAAGUGAAGAAUGUUUAGGUGUAGAAGUGAAGAAAGUUUAGGUGUAGAAGUGAAGAACGUUUAGGUGUAGAAGUGAAGAAUGUUUAGGUGUAGAAGUGAAGAAUGUUCAGGUGUAGAAGUGAAGAAUGUUUAGGUGUAGAAGUGAAAAACGUUUAGGUGUAGAAGUGAAGAACGUUUAGGUGUAGAAGUGAAGAAUGUUUAGGUGUAGAAGUGAAGAAUGUUUAGGUGUAGAAGUGAAGAAUGUUUAGGUGUAGAAGUGAAGAAUGUUUAGGUGUAGAAGUGAAGAAUGUUUAGGUGUAGAAGUGAAGAAUGUUUAGGUGUAGAAGUGAAGAAUGUUUAGGUGUAGAAGUGAAGAAUGUUUAGGUGUAGAAGUGAAGAAUGUUUAGGUGUAGAAGUGAAGAAUGUUUAGGUGUAGAAGUGAAGAAAGUUUAGGUGUAGAAGUGAAGAAUGUUUAGGUGUAGAAGUGAAGAAUGUUUAGGUGUAAAAGUGAAGAAUGUUUAGGUGUAGAAGUGAAGAAUGUUUAGGUGUAGAAGUGAAGAAAGUCUAGGUGUAGAAGUGAAGAAUGUUUAGGUGUAGAAGUGAAGAAUGUUUAGGUGUAGAAGUAAAGAAUGUUUAGGUGUAGAAGUGAAGAAUGUUUAGGUGUAGAAGUGAAGAAUGUUUAGGUGUAAAAGUGAAGAACGUUUAGGUGUAGAAGUGAAGAAUGUUUAGGUGUAGAAGUGAAGAAUGUUUAGGUGUAGAAGUGAAGAAUGUUUAGGUGUAGAAGUAAAGAAUGUUUAGGUGUAGAAGUAAAGAAUGUUUAGGUGUAGAAGUGAAGAAUGUUUAGGUGUAGAAGUGAAGAACGUUUAGGUGUAGAAGUGAAGAACGUUUAGGUGUAGAAGUGAAGAAUGUUUAGGUGUAGAAGUGAAGAAUGUUUAGGUGUAGAAGUGAAGAAUGUUUAGGUGCAGAAGUGAAGUGUGUUUAGGUGCAGAAGUGAAGAAUGUUUAGGUGUAGAAGUGAAGAAUGUUUAGGUGUAGAAGUGAAGAAUGUUUAGGUGCAGAAGUGAAGUGUGUUUAGGUGCAGAAGUGAAGAAUGUUUAGGUGUAGAAGUGAAGAAUGUUUAGGUGUAGAAGUGAAGAAUGUUUAGGUGUAGAAGUGAAGAAUGUUUAGGUGUAGAAGUGAAGAAUGUUUAGGUGUAGAAGUGAAGAAUGUUUAGGUGUAGAAGUGAAGAAUGUUUAGGUGUAGAAGUGAAGAAUGUUUAGGUGCAGAAGUGAAGAAUGUUUAGGUGUAGAAGUGAAGAAUGUUUAGGUGUAGAAGUGAAGAAAGUUUAGGUGUAGAAGUGAAGAAUGUUUAGGUGUAGAAGUGAAGAAUGUUUAGGUGUAGAAGUGAAGAAUGUUUAGGUGUAGAAGUGAAGAAUGUUUAGGUGCAGAAGUGAAGAAUGUUUAGGUGCAGAAGUGAAGAAUGUUUAGGUGUAGAAGUGAAGAACGUUUAGGUGUAGAAGUGAAGAAUGUUUAGGUGUAGAAGUGAAGAAUGUUUAGUGAAGAAUGUUUAGGUGCAGAAGUGAAGAACGUUUAGGUGUAGAAGUGAAGAAUGUUUAGGUGUAGAAGUGAAGAACGUUUAGGUGUAGAAGUGAAGAAUGUUUAGGUGUAGAAGUGAAGAAUGUUUAGGUGCAGAAGUGAAGAACGUUUAGGUGUAGAAGUGAAGAAUGUUUAGGUGCAGAAGUGAAGAAUGUUUAGGUGUAGAAGUGAAGAAUGUUUAGGUGUAGAAGUGAAGAAUGUUUAGGUGUAGAAGUGAAGA